rnacentral:tRNA from 1 species
UCUAUGCGACUUAUUGAGGUGGCAGAGCCCGGUAAUUGCAAUAGACCUAAAACCUAAGCCCGAGAGUUCAAAUCCCUCCCCCAAUA